UACGUAGGGGGCGAGCGUUGUCCGGAGUUACUGGGCGUAAAGGGCAUGCAGGCGGUCCGGCACGUUUUGUGUGACAGCGGGUGGCUUAACUACCCGAGGAUACGAAAGACGGUUGGACUUGAGGACUCGAGAGGGACACGGAAUUCCGGGUGGAGUGGUGAAAUGCGUAGAGAUCCGGAGGAACACCGAAGGCGAAGGCAGUGUCCUGGCGAGUGACUGACGCUGAGGUGCGAAAGCCAGGGGAGCAAACGGG
rnacentral:rRNA from 1 species